AGUGAACGCUGGCGGUAGGCCUAACACAUGCAAGUCGAACGGCAGCACAGUAAGAGCUUGCUCUUACGGGUGGCGAGUGGCGGACGGGUGAGGAAUACAUCGGAAUCUACUUUUUCGUGGGGGAUAACGUAGGGAAACUUACGCUAAUACCGCAUACGACCUACGGGUGAAAGCAGGGGAUCUUCGGACCUUGCGCGAUUGAAUGAGCCGAUGUCGGAUUAGCUAGUUGGCGGGGUAAAGGCCCACCAAGGCGACGAUCCGUAGCUGGUCUGAGAGGAUGAUCAGCCACACUGGAGCUGAGACACGGUCCAGACUCCUACGAGAGGCAGCAGUGGGGAAUAUUGGACAAUGGGCGCAAGCCUGAUCCAGCCAUACCGCGUGGGUGAAGAAGGCCUUCGGGUUGUAAAGCCCUUUUGUUGGGAAAGAAAAGCAGCAGGUUAAUACCCCGCUGUUCUGACGGUACCCAAAGAAUAAGCACCGGCUAACUUCGUG
rnacentral:rRNA from 1 species